rnacentral:rRNA from 1 species
UACAGAGGUCUCAAGCGUUGUUCGGAUUCAUUGGGCGUAAAGGGUGCGUAGGUGGCGCUGUAAGUCGGGUGUGAAAUUUCGGAGCUUAACUCCGAAACUGCAUUCGAUACUGCGGUGCUUGAGGACUGGAGAGGAGACUGGAAUUCAUGGUGUAGCAGUGAAAUGCGUAGAUAUCAGAAGGAACACCAGUGGCGAAGGCGGCUCACUGGCCCGGUACUGACGCUGAGGUGCGAAAGCGUGGGGAGCAAACAGG